GCCUUCAGUAAGAUUGUGACUGCCAUAACUGGCAUUCCACACAGGAAAGGAAGAAUUUGUUCCAGUCACCUCUGGUUGGCUUGUGAGGACCAACAGUUGAACAUGGAAAUGACGUCAGCUGACUGCGCUGGAUGAGCAAUAAGCAAGACUUAGUUAUUCAGGCUGAAAGGAGAGUGUGAAACGAAGAUGAUGCAGUGGUUUGCGCACCUCAUUCCUUUCCUUAAAUGUUCAUUAAAUGAGGUUACAAAAGCAUCCUUAUCUGGUUAUUGAAAAGGUUAUUUCAGAAACUAGGAUCAUGCUUCAACUCUGAUAC
rnacentral:lncRNA from 1 species